CUCCAGCGAUGAGCUCGCACCUCACCGUGGUGCUGGAGUCUAGUAGCCAGGGUGUAUUGCCUAUGGUGAAGCUAAGACGAGC
rnacentral:ribozyme from 1 species